rnacentral:rRNA from 1 species
CAGCCGCCACGGGAAAACCAGCACCUCGAGUGGUCAGGAGGUUUAUUGGGCCUAAAGCAUCCGUAGCCGGUUGCAUAAGUUUUCGGUUAAAUCUAUGCGCUUAACGUAUAGGCCGCCGAGAAUACUGUGCAGCUAGGGAGUGGGAGAGGUACACGGUACUCGAUAGGAAGGGGUAAAAUCCUUUGAUCUAUUGAUGACCACCUGUGGCGAAGGCGGUGUACCAGAACACGUUCGACGGUAAGGGAUGAAAGCUGGGGGAGCAAACCGGAUUAGAUACCCCAGUAGUCCCUGUCUCUUAUAC